GAGUUUGAUCCUGGCUCAGAACGUACGCUGGCGGCACGCCUAACACAUGCAAGUCGAACGAACUAUCAAUACUUAGUGGCAGACGGGUGAGUAACAUGUAGGUAUCUACCCUUUGGCCUGGAAUAACACGAGAAAACUUGUGCUAAUACCGGAUAAGUCUUUACGGAGAAAGCUUUAUGCACCAUUGGAUGAUCCUGCACUUGAUUAGUUUGUUGGUGGGGUAAUGGCCUACCAAGACUGUGAUCAAUAGCUGAUUUGAGAGGAUGAUCAGCCACAUUGGGACUGAGACACGGCCCAAACUCCUACAGGAGGCAGCGGUGGGGAAUCUUGCACAAUGGAGGAAACUCUGAUGCAGCGAUGCCACGUGAAUGAAGAACGCCUUUGGGUUGUAAAGCUCUUUCGUCGGGGAGGAAAAUGACUGUACCCGAAUAAGAAGGUCCGGUUAACUUCGUGCCAGCAGCCGCGGUAAUACGAAGGGACCUACCGUAUUUCGGAAUUACUGGGCUUAAAGAGUUGGUAGGUGGUUGAAAAAGUUGGUGGUGAAAUCCCAGAGAUUAACUCUGGAACUGCCAUCAAAACUUUUCAGAUAGAGUAUGAUAGAGGAAAGCAGAUUUUCUAGUGUAGAGGUGAAACUCGUAGAUAUUAGAAAGAAUACCAAUUGCGAAGGCAGCUUUCUGGAUCAUUACUGACACUGAGGAACGAAAGCAUGGGUAGCGAAGAGGAUUAGAUACCCUCGUAGUCCAUGCCGUAAACGAUGAGUGUUAGACGUUGGAAACUUAUUUUCAGUGUCGCAGCGACCGCGAUAGACACACCGCCUGGAGAGUACGACCGCAAGGUUAAAACUCAAAUGAAUUGACGGGGACCCGCACAAGUAGUCGAGCAUGUGGUAUAAUUCGAAGAUACGCGCAGAACCUUACCAACACCUGACAUGCUUCGUCGCGACUAUAAGAGAUUAGAGUUUUCGGCUCGGCCGGGCGAAACACAGGUGAUGCAUGGCUGUCGUCAGCUCCUGUCCUGAGAUGUUGGGUUAAGUCCCGCAACGAGCGCAACCCUCACUUUUAGUUGCCAUCAUUAAGUUGGGCACUGGGAAAGAACUGCCAGUGAGAAGCUGGAGGAAGGUGGGGAUGACGUCAAGUCCUCAUGGCCCUUACGUGUUGGGCUACACACGUGCUCCAAUGGUAUCUACAACAGGAAGCAAGACUGCGAGGUCAAGCAAAUCCUUAAAAGAUACCUCAGUUCGGAUUGCACUCUGCAACUCGAGUGCAUGAAGCUGGAAUUAAUAGUAAUCAAGGAUCAGCGGGCCACGGAGAACGCGUUCCCGGGUCUUGUACACACCGCCCGUCACCCCAUGGGAGUUGGUUAUGCCGUAAGGCAAGGUUUAAAACCCCUGCCCACGGUAUAGUCAGCGACUGGGGGGAAGUUGUAACAAGGUAACC
rnacentral:rRNA from 1 species